AUGGCAAGAGCAAUUGCAACGAUACUACUCAUGGCUAUCGUGCUUGUUGCCGCUAUGCAAUUGGCGAGUUCCGUCGACAUCACGCACACGGACUUGGAGUCGGAGAAGUCCCUGUGGGCACUGUACGAUCGCUGGUGCGAGCAUCACAAUGUGGGACGCGACCUCGGCGAAAAGGCCCGGCGCUUCAGCGUGUUUAAGGAGAACGCUCGCAUGGUCCACAAAUUCAACCAAGGUGACGCACGCUACAAGCUUAGCCUCAACCUCUUUGGUGACAUGACCGAUGAAGAGGUCGACGGCGGGUACGGUCGCUGCUCCAACCCCUUGCCAAACAGCGCGAAGCAGCGCCAAGGCCGGGUCACACAUGGCGUCCUUGCCACGCGUGACAACUACCCAAUGUACGUGGACUGGCGCAUGACAGGGUACGACCAACGCCCGUCAGCGGUGACAAACGUGAAGAACCAGAGAGGGUGUGGGGCUUGUUGGGCCUUCGCGGCGACAGCCGCGGUGGAGGGCAUCAAUUCCAUCAGGACCAGGAAGCUGGUGUCGUUUUCCGCGCAGCAGCUGGUAGACUGCGAUAAAGGAAGUGCCGGUUGUGGUGGCGGCAAUGCGAUAUUGGCUUUCAAGUACAUGAUGGGCCACGUCGGAAUCUCGACAGAGGCCGACUACCCGUACUAUGCCGAUGAGCAAGGCUACUGCUUGGUGCCAAAACGAAAGAACCCCGUCGUCACCAUCGACGGCUUCAAAGAGGUACCGCCAAAAGACGAGGUGGCGUUGCUGCAGGCGGUGGCGGCCCAACCCGUCGUUGUGGUGGUUGACACGAAGACAUUCCGACGCUAUGGAGGAGGCGUCUUUGUUGGUCCGUGUGGGACGAAUCGGACCCACUCAAUGACGAUGGUGGGCUAUGGCACCACAGAUGAGACUGACCCCAUAGAUUACUGGAUCAUAAAGAACUCGUGGGGGCCAAAAUGGGGUGAAGACGGCUACAUCCGCUUGGCGCGAGGCGUGAGCGGUGGCACCAACGAGGGCUUAUGCGGCAUCCUGAUGGAAGCGUCGUACCCAGUGAAAAAUUAA
rnacentral:rRNA from 1 species